GAGACUCCGUGGGGUAGGACCCUCCGAGCCAGGUGCCGUCCGUCAGCCCUUUCUUUGAUUAGGAAAGGGAACUCCCUGACCCCUUGCGCUUCCCGAGUGAGGCAAUGCCUCGCCCUGCUUCGGCUCGCGCACGGUGCGCGCACCCACUGACCUGCGCCCACUGUCUGGCACUCCCUAGUGAGAUGAACCCGGUACCUCAGAUGGAAAUGCAGAAAUCACCCGUCUUCUGCGUCGCUCAGGCUGGGAGCUGUAGACCGGAGCUGUUCCUAUUCGGCCAUCUUGGCUCCUCCUCUCGUAGUUGGAACAUUAGUUGGAGUCAGAAGACCUGGGAGCGGCUCACACCUGUAAUCCCAGCACUUUGGGAGGCUGAGGCAGGUGGAUCAUGAGGUCAGGAGUUCAAGACCAGCUUGGCCAACAUAGUGAAAACCCGUCUCUACUAAAAAUACAAAAAUUAGCCGGGCAUAGUGGCCCGUGCCUGUAGUCCCAGCUGCUCAGGAGGCUGAGGCAGGGGAAUCAUUUGAACCUGGGAGGUGGAGGUUGCAGUGAGCCGAGAUCUCACCACUGCACUCCAGCCUGGAGAGCGAGACUCUGCCUC
rnacentral:lncRNA from 10 species